rnacentral:lncRNA from 1 species
UCAGGGACUUACGAGACGUCGAUGUAAUCUGUGAGUGGGCAGUUUUGUUUUCCGUAUAUAUAUAUACUUGACGUUUCCCAGAAAUUGAAUUGAAAUGAAAAUAUGUUUAAAAUGAAAUGCAUAUGAAUUAUGUGGAAAAACGGGAAGUGAAAUACCAUGCAUAGAAUUGAUAUGAAAAGUAUAUAGAAAUGUGAGUUGAAAUGCCAUGCAUGAAUUAAUAUAUGAUGCAUAUGUAUGAAUUGGUGCGGUGGACGCACAGGUAUGAAUUAAUAUAUGAUGCAUAUGUAUGAAAUGGUGCGGUGGACGCACAGGUGAGUAUUUAUUUCUGUUAUGAUGAUGUUGAUGUAUAUUGAGCUCAAAUCCUGCACCAUAGUUUAGUGCUUAUAGUAUUCACCGCAUCGCACGCUCGCCUUGGAUCCAAGUAGAUGCUAGUCGUACAGUCCACGUGGAGUGGGUACGACAGGCCAGUCGCGAGAGUGUUAGUGAGAUUCCGACUGGUGGGUGACCUUAAAUUAUGUGCACAGAUGAUUUAUGAGAAGCACUAGAGCGUAACUUAGGUGCAGAAGGCCGUACAGGUCACGCGGAGUGACUCCGGCAGAGAGUGAGAGUGAUAGAUUUUGAGCUCUAGGUUCAACCGUACAGGGCUAUUAGAGGGCCUCCGGUUGAUUACUUUAUUGCACCUGAUAUGAUUUAUGUUGAUGCAUUCAUACCCUAUUACUGUUGAGAUGAUGUGGUAUGGCAUAAUUAAUAUGAGAAAAUGUUGAGUUAAUGAAUUGAAGUAUUGAGAAUAUAUAUAUGUAUAUUUAUAUUUUAUAUUUCUGGGAAAGUAUACAGGUUUUACGGAGAGGGGUUACAACGUUUUGAGAAAUGUUUGGAUUUGGAAAAGAAUUGUUUUACUGACCCACUCAAUUUUGGUUUUGCGCCCCUCCAGGUUCAGGAAUCACAAAGGUGUGGUGACUACGAGGAAUUUGACGGUGUUCUGACAGAUUGGACAAAAUUAGGACUCACCUUCGGGUGUAUCAACUUAUAAAUUGUAUCUUAAAGCUUCCGUACUGUGUAAAUGGUUACGUCACUCUCACGUGACGGCCAGCAUGCCCUCCUUCGGGACGGGGUUUGUCAGUUGGUAUCAGAGCAUGGUUGCAAUCUUGGACAUCUUGAGAAGUUUCUAGUGAAUUCUGUCAGAACUACACCGCCUCGUAGCAAGCCACUUAGUUAGAGGAAUUUAGUCUCCCUAAUAUAGCGGUUUAGGGAAAACUAUUAUUAUGGUGAUUCAGUCUAUUAUAAAAAGGGACAUUUUAAGACGGAUUAUGAGUCGAAUUUGAAUCACCUUAUGAAAUGAUGAACCUGAGGGAGGGAAGUAACGGUUUAACCAUUGGAAAAGAUGUUUCAGGUUAUGCAAGUCAAAGGAAAUUUCCUUCUGACAAGGGGUCGAGACGACUACCUGGUUUUGGGUAUGAAUUUGUAUCCUGGUGGAAACAGGAUUGUUAAUUGUUGUCACCGGAGGAAACAGCUGAUUGAGAAUUAUUUAAGGACUUGUUUAAGGAAAAGUUUAUCCCUCCGGCAUUUAUCGAUGGUAGUAAGCAAGAGUUUGCAAAUGUGAAUCAAGGAAGUUGACGAUAAAUGAAUAUUAUAGAAAGUUUUCAGACUUGCCUCGUUCCAUCCAGAUAUUUGAGACAAGGUGUCUCGAGUAAAGGAAAUGUACCUUGUGCAGCAGGUACAAAAUUAACACUUUGGGAAGUGUGAAAUUAAUGAAUGUGUUUAUGUGAACAGAGGGGACACAGAAUUGUGAAUCGUCCCUAGAAUCAGUUGUACUCAACAAUUUUCCAUGAUAUCAUAGUGUCGAUUCAGCAGAGUUAUGGACUUAGUAGUUUGAUCGGAUUGACCGUGAGUACAGAGAGAUUUGAUGAGUUAUAUGUUCAGCCGUACAGGCCACGAGAGGUGGAUCUGGCUGACGCAUGAGAAAUUGGUGAGUUAUAGGCUCGGCCGUACCGACCACGCGGAGUGGAUCCGGCCGACGUAUUAUUGAGAUAAGAGUUGAAUCAGCCGUAUUGAUCAUUCUAGUUGACUUCGGCUGAUAUAUUUCUUAUUAUGUAUGUUAUAUCUUUGAGAGUGGUUGCCUACUUAUCGAGACAACGAUGAUUUAUCAGUAUUGCGGGCUGCAGACCGUAAUAUUAAUAACUCAUUCGUGGAUUCGUUAAGCAAGCAAACCGGUAGGUUAUUUUAUGUUAGUGAUGUACUUAUUUAGAAUGUUCAGUAAUAAUAAAGUAUGUAUUGGAUCAGUUAAUUUUAUUCCAUUAGAUUGAUUGUUUAUAGUUGUGACUAGAUGGAAUGUUACGGGAAACCAGUUACUUUCCAUCGAGUUGAUUAAUUAGAGGUUACUUUGGUGGGCAUACAAAGUGAAAUGAGUUCAGCCAUUAUUUAUGCUGUGAAAGCAAAGAGAUUGUUUUGAAAGGCUGCCCAAAAAAAAAAAAAAAAAAAAAAAAAAAAAAAAAAAAAAAACUUAGUUCAUGUGGUGCUAAAUGAUGUUGUUUGGAGUAGUGUGAAUAAUGUCGAAAGGGUUAGACUUUUCUUGAUGUCUUCCUUGAAAGUAUACCUGGAUUGCCUUCAGGCAGAGAUAUGAGAUUCACUAUUGAUUUGUUGCCAGGUAUAAAUUUAUGUUAAAGAUUGGUUCAUGAUGAGUUAAGGGAAUUGGAAAUUCAGUUGAAAGAAUUGGUUGAUAAAAGUUUUAUUCAACCUAGUACAACACUUUUGAGGAGCACCAGUUUGUUGGUGAGAAAGAAAAUGGACUUAGAGAUUGUUCAUUGAUUAUAGACAAUGGAAUUGGUAACGAUAGAGAACCGUUAUCCAUGAUAGUGUACUGAUGUUUAGUUGAUAAGCUCAGAGAUGUUUGGGUAAUUUCAAAGAUUGAUUGAGGUCUGGUUAUUACCAAUUGAAGAUUUUGAGCGACAUUGAUCAUAAGAUGGUUUUCUGGAUUUGUUAUGAUCUUUUAUGAGUUUGGUGAUGCUAUAUGGAUACUCAUGCUGUUUUAUGAGUUGAUGGGUGAAGUAUUCCAAUAAUGACUUGAUAAAGUGAUAUCAUUUUCAUUGAAGAUAUUCUGGCAUAUUCUGAGCCAGAGCAGAGCAUGUAAACGUAUUAAGUCGGUGGAACAAAGAUUGGAAGAAUGUCGAUUGUAUGCUAAGUUUAGCAAAUGCUAAAGUUAGAUGAAUCAGGUGGCAUUCUGAGAUUUGUCAUAUAUUCUUAAGGUAUUCAAGUGAAUCCUUAAAAGAUAGCAGAAAUUGAGAAUUUGGAACAACCACGAGUCGUAAUUGAGAUUUGGAAUUUCUUAGCUUACCAGGCUAUCUUGGAUGGUUGUGAAAGAUUUUUCAGUCAUUGCUUUGUCAUUGACGAGACUGUUGAGAAAAGAGGUUAUGUAUGAGUGGGAAGGAAAUUGUGAGCAAAGUAUUGAACAACUGAAGUAUUUCCUCACUCAUGCACGUAUUUUGGUAUUCCCAGAGGAUAGUGGUAAUCAUAAAUUUUUAGUGAUGUUUCUUGAAUGGUAUUGGAGGCAUGUUGAUGCAAAUGUUAGGGUGAUUGCAUACGUUUCACGAUAAAUGGAACCUUAUGAGAUGAAUUACCCUACGGGUGACUUGGAAGUCAUGAUUACCAUUCUUGCUGUGAAGUUAUGAAGGCAUUAUAUUUAGUAAGAAUGCAAGAUUUUUACGAAUCCAAAAAGUCUUCAAUAUCCAUUACUUGGAAGGAUUUUAUUAUGAGGCAGUGAAAGUGAAUUGUAUUGCUUAAUGAACAUGAUUGUACGAUCAGGGUGAUCGUAAAGUUUGUUCUAGCUGAAGCACUUGGUGAGAAGACUACAGUAAGAUUAAUGUCUGGCACGUUGCCAAGAGUAUCAUCUUGUGGAUUGAAAACCAACGGAAGAAAAGUUAAGAAUGAAAGAUCGAGAAGAAGUUAUACUUGUUAAAUUUCAAGUUAGGCCUGUUUGGUAAGGUCGUACUCGAAACUUAAAUGUUUGACGAGGAAUUUAAGAAUUAACCAAGGCAAGGAAAGAAAGGAAAAAGAAUGAGUACAUGAUUCGUGAAUCAAAUGGUAUGUGGAUACAAGAAAACAAAAAGUAUGUGCCUAAUGCUGAGGAUUUGAAGCAAGCAAAUAUUGGACGAAGUUCACUGUUCAACUUCUGCAAUAUUCCAAAAGUAAUAAGAUUUAUCAUACCAUUCGACAGUUUUAUUGGUCAGCAGAUUGAGGCAGAAAGAAAUAAACCUUUGGAUUGAGAUAACUAUUUUCUGUUUCGAAACGGAAAUGGAAAGAUAUUACUUUGGACUAUGUAUACAAGUUUCCCUGUAUACAAGAUGGUUACGGUCGAAUUUAAAGUAAUAGUUGGUUAACGUAACAAGUUAGUACAUUUACUCCAGUGUUGAGUAACAACCUUUCCCAGACAGUGCAACGGUACUUAUUUGUUUUAUGGAAAGAGAAUUGGAUUACGGAACUGCUGAGUUUCUUAAGUAUGUUGGUUUCGCCAGUUUUCAAAGUAACGCCAUAAUGUCCAUGAAACGUGUUAUAUGUGUCGAUUUUUGCUGAAUUGUGGAUGGAAUGCUUCUGGGUAGAGAAAGAUUCGAUCACAAAAGAGUUUUAGUAGACCCUGAGACUAUGGAUGAGUCUCCUCAAAGUAUUCAUGUGAUUAAGUUAACCUGAAGUAACCAGGAAUGGCAAAAGAGAUCAACAGAUGGAUAUGCCACUAAUCGAGUAUAUAAGGUAAAUGGUUUUAUAUUUUCGAAGUGUUCACCAUAGAAAAGUUUAAUUCGGGUUGGAAAGGAAGGCAAGUUAAAUCCUAAAUGAAUCGGACUUAGCGUGAUCAUCGAAAGGUUGGUGAAGUUGAUUAUAGAAUUGAAUGGCUUCCAGAGUUGUUGUAAGUGCAUGAUGUGUUUCAUGAGUCGAUAUUUUGGAAAAUUCACCACGAACAAAAAUGGCGAGAAUUGGAAAGGAGACACAUCAGACCAUUUUUGAUCACUAAAGGAAUCAAUAAAGUUGCAUACAAGUUUGUGAUGCCUUCAAAAUUGGCUAAGGUGCAUAAGGUAUUAUAUUUCGAUGCGUUGUCACUAGGUGGCAGAUUCGUCACAUGGGAUUCUGGUGUAACUAUUGAGAAUUAAACUGGAUCUAAUUAGUGAGGAGCUAAUGACGACUUUGGAUUGGAAAAAGAAGGUCCUGAGAAUUAAGACAGAGUAAGUGGUAAAAGUUUUGUGAAGAAAAUCAUUCAGUAGAAAAUUAUGUGGGAGAAAGAGAAUCGGAUGAGAAAGAUUUACCCGAAUCUAUUGUUGGAGUAUAGUUGAUUUAGUUGGUUGCUGGAAUUUCGGGGACGAAAUUCUAUAAGGAGGGAAGAUUGUCACAGCCCGUCCCGGAAUUAUUAAUUCCGAGGACGUGAAAUGACCAAUGUGACCUUAAACGGGAUUAAGGUGUGUAAAGGUACGACAUUUGUCUUACUUUAAGAUCCUAAACUAGGGUUAGAUUUGUAUGUGUAUGUGUAUGUGUUAAUAUUAUAUGGGUUAAGGUAGGGCCUUAUACCCUGAAAUCCUUCCCCAAAACCCGUUUUGUUGUCUCUCUCUCUUAUCCUUCUCAGUAACCUUUCUUCUCUCUUAUUCUAUCAUUUCAGACUCUCUCUCAUUCUCUCUCUUACUCUCGAACUCACGGCAAACACCAAGAACAACCACAAUCCUACACCAACGUCCAAUCUAAGAUCACCAUCGUGAUCCUGAGGACUUCACGAACACGGGGAUACCAGUUUAAGGUGAGUUUCACUUCGGAAAACCCUAGUUUCAGUGUCACCGUAAUAUUGCACUGUUCACGAACUUCAAAUUGGCUUUGUUUUAGGCCAAAAUAAGAUCAUAGUGAGCUUAAGGAAGUUCCAAGGAUGCUCGGAGUGUAACGUUUGGAAGUUUUGGACGUCGGGAUCGUUGAGUUCGACGUUUGGCCGAUUUUUGGAAUUUUUGGAAGGUAUGAUCCCGUGGUUUUUAGUGUUUAAAACCCUUCCAUCGUGAUUGUACAUGUUAAAUGCUUCAAUUUGGUAUAAAUUACAUGAAAAAUGGACGAAAAACGAAGGAGAAUAGUGGUUUUGAAAAAUUACCCAGUUUCCGGCGCCGGCGACGGUCGCCGGAGCUGAAGGUUGAAGGUGAUGGAAUAUUCCGUCAAGUUUGACGGAAUAUUCUGACGCCGUUAGUCAGUUUUAACGGAAACCGUUAGUUUUUAACGGAAUAUUCCGGGAAUAUUCCUAUCGUCGUUCACUGUAGCCGUCAGUGUGCAUGUCACGUGGCCGCGCGUGGGGGGCGCGUGAGAGCUCCAAAAAUUAUUUUAAAAAUAUGGGGAUGAUCCUGAGGUUGUGUAGGUCACAGUGGUAUAUUCAUAUACCCAAUUUGAGCAAUAUAUGAGGAGUUAUUAGCUAAGAGUGGGAUUAUGCGUUAAAUAACGUUAAUUUGGUUACUUCUCGUAUAGGCGAGGAUUAUACGGACGUCGGGCAUGGCCAAGGGAUGCUCAGGGACUUACGAGACGUCGAUGUAAUCUGUGAGUGGGCAGUUUUGUUUUCCGUAUAUAUAUAUACUUGACGUUUCCCAGAAAUUGAAUUGAAAUGAAAAUAUGUUUAAAAUGAAAUGCAUAUGAAUUAUGUGGAAAAAACAGGAAGUGAAAUACCAUGCAUAGAAUUGAUAUGAAAAAGUAUAUAGAAAUGUGAGUUGAAAUGCCAUGCAUGAAUUAAUAUAUGAUGCAUAUGUAUGAAUUGGUGCGGUGGACGCACAGGUAUGAAUUAAUAUAUGAUGCAUAUGUAUGAAAUGGUGCGGUGGACGCACAGGUGAGUAUUUAUUUCUGUUAUGAUGAUGUUGAUGUAUAUUGAGCUCAAAUCCUGCACCAUAGUUUAGUGCUUAUAGUAUUCACCGCAUCGCACGCUCGCCUUGGAUCCAAGUAGAUGCUAGUCGUACAGUCCACGUAGAGUGGGUACGACAGGCCAGUCGCGAGAGUGUUAGUGAGAUUCCGACUGGUGGGGGUGACCUUAAAUUAUGUGCACAGAUGAUUUAUGAGAAGCACUAGAGCGUAACUUAGGUGCAGAAGGCCGUACAGGUCACGCGGAGUGACUCCGGCAGAGAGUGAGAGUGAUAGAUUUUGAGCUCUAGGUUCAACCGUACAGGGCUAUUAGAGGGCCUCCGGUUGAUUACUUUAUUGCACCUGAUAUGAUUUAUGUUGAUGCAUUCAUACCUUAUUACUGUUGAGAUGAUGUGGCAUGGCAUAAUUAAUAUGAGAAAAUGUUGAGUUAAUGAAUUGAAGUAUUGAGAAUAUAUAUAUAUGUAUAUUUAUAUUUUAUAUUUCUGGGAAAGUAUACAGGUUUUACGGAGAGGGGUUACAACGUUUUGAGAAAUG